rnacentral:misc_RNA from 1 species
GAAAUGCGAUAAGUAAUGUGAAUUGCAGAAUUCCGUGAAUCAUCGAAUCUUUGAACGCACAUUGCGCCCCCUGGUAUUCCGGGGGGCAUGCCUGUCCGAGCGUCAUUACAACCUUCAAGCACGGCUUGUGUGUUGGGCGGCCGUCCCUUAUUUUUAGGGGACGCGCCCCAAACGCAGUGGCGACGCCGCGUUACCGGCGCCUGAGCGAAUGGGAUUUCACCACCGCUCGAGGCCCGGCCGGCGCCAGCCUUGACAACGACCCUCGCGGGUCUUAACUGGUUGACCUCGGAUCAGGUAGGGAUACCCGCUGAACUUAA